AUGCCUUGCUCCGAGGCGCUGUUGCGUGGAAUCCUGAAGAGAAUUCCUGGGCACAGCUGGCGUGGAGAAAGGCUUGGGAGACCAGAGGAGAAGGAGAUGCUCCCAAACCUGGAAGGGUGGGCGCAGGCGGCCGGUGAGAGACAGGCCAGUAGAAGAAAUUGUUACUGUAGACUCAAUUUGGAACCCCUUCACAGUUUUGAGAAGCCCAGGGCAAGGAGAGCCUGCGGAAGGAUCCAGUUCCCUAGUUCGACGCCACCUUGGUGCCCCUCGUCCUCCCUGGAUUCUCAGGCUCUUGGAGCUGAAAGGACGCAUCUGCCCACACUCAGCUGCAGCAGAGAGCCACGUCUGCAAGGCUGGGACAGGGCCCUAAUGUCACAGCCGCCCAUGGGAGCCCUGACAUUGGUCGACCCCCAGAGGGCCCCCACCCCACCCCCAACGGCUGAGCCAGAGCUUGCUGGGCAUCCUCCACCCCCACCUCGGCAGCACUCCUGGGGGCUGCUUUAGUAUUAAGCGUUAAUGAUUAAAUCCGGGGUUCUCCAUUAACCCCGCCGCGGGCCUUUGUCUCCGGCCGCCUGGGAGCCUCCCCCUUUGAAAUGCCACAUAAAAAUGAUCGAUGCCCUUUGCCUCCCUCCGGGGGUCGGCGGGUCCUGUUUCCCUUUAAAGCUCGAGUAGACAACCAGGGCGCGCCCCGCUUAAACACAGAAGCCGGAGGCCGGGGAGGCGAGCGCGCGGCGGGCUUCGGGACUGGCCCGCGAGGGGCGGCCCGGGCGGCCACUGCGACCCGCGGGACGGCAGCUCGCUUAGGAUGGGAGGGGAUUUGGAGACAGGUCUCUUUGCCAGGGAUCACAGUGAUGGCGAUAAUAAUAACAUAAACCACAAGAAGAACGCUUGACCUGUCCACCUGGCCAAGCGUUGAAAUGAGAACUGAAUGAGAAAGGAUGUGGGCACAGUUGGUAAAUUUCAAAUUCUGCACCCAAGUUACUCAGAGCGGGGUCCAGGGACCAGCAGCAUCGCAUCCCCUGCCGGUUUGUUAGAAAUGCGGCAUCUUAGGCACGCUAGACCAGAAUCUGUAUUUUAAUUAGAUUCCCAGAUGACUCAUGUGCACAUUACAGUUUGAGAAGUCUGGUCUACAUAACCAGUAAUUCUGGUAAUAAUAGUAACAAUACUGGCUUACGUAUAUUGAGCACUUGUCAUGAGCCAGCAUUGUUCUAAGCACCUUACGUAAUUGUCCUCUUUAAUCCUUACAACGUGCUAGAUGCACCAUUUUGCAGAUGGUAAGGUAGAGGUCCAGGGAGAUUUGGUGGCUUGCCAGAGGUCACCCAUGUAGGGAUUAGAAUCCCAGGUGAGAACAGGCUCACAUACAAGCAGCCACACAGAGACCCCUUCUAGGUUAGCUCCUGAGGGUGUGCCACCUCAAGCUGGGGACUGGCUUUUGGAAUAAUCAGGAGCCAACUCCUGGUGGCUCAGUGUGCACCCAGCUGAGAUGGAUUAGCAACAAGCACGCUUGGCCACAGAAAGAUGUGCUCCUCGUGUUGCCCACCUCCAUCUGCUGGAGAUAGACGUGCAGCAUGUCCCAUCUCCACCCUCCAGCUUUUAGGAAGAAACCCCAGUGCUGGAUGUGAGCAACCCCCAACCGCCCACGUUCCCCCAGGUCCUCUGUAGAGCCAUGAAAGGGUUAAGUUCGGGCUCAGCCACUACAUAAAUCUGUGUUUAUCUGCUGCAAAGUAAGCUAUUUAGGUUUCUGAUUUACAAUCCUUGGUUUUCAUAAAAGUCAGUCAUUCCGAGUAAAAGAAUGUGGGUUAGAUUUAUAGGAUUUGCGUUAGGCUUUAAAGCCCAGAGCUGGUCUAUGACUCACCCUCCAUAAUGUUUUUGCUCUAGUCCGGAGAUAUUCAUGUGCAAAGAGAAAGAUUCAGAUCUCUGCCCUGAAAAAUAAGACUUUUGGGGGGAACUAAUUAUAAUGGCGUCAAUUGUACUGUGCUUGUAAACUCGCCGGCUGUGGGCCCCCCUGGAGCCUGUUUUCCAGGGGUUUUAUUCCGCAAUAAAAUGUGCUCUGCUUUGCA
rnacentral:lncRNA from 1 species